rnacentral:rRNA from 1 species
UGCAGGUCGAACGCGAAAGUCCCCUUCGGGGGAUGAGUAGAGUGGCGCACGGGUGAGUAACACGUAGGUAAUCUACCUUCGGGUGGGGAAUAACCCAGGGAAACUUGGGCUAACACCGCAUAAUGCAGCGGCACCACAUGGUGACAGUUGUUAAAGCGGGGGAUUUUCGGACCUCGCGCCUGAAGAGGAGCCUGCGGCAGAUUAGCUUGUUGGUAAGGUAACGGCUUACCAAGGCGACGAUCUGUAGCCGGCCUGAGAGGGCGGUCGGCCACACUGACACUGACAUACGGGUCAGACUCCUACGGGAGGCAGCAGUCGGGAAUUUUGGGCAAUGGGCGAAAGCCUGACCCAGCAACGCCGCGUGAAGGAUGAAAUCCCUCGGGAUGUAAACUUCGCAAGAGUGGGAAGAAUUAGUAGGGGACAAUACCCCCUAUGAUGACGGUACCAUUUGUAAGCUCCGGCUAACUCCGUGCCAGCAGCCGCGGUAAUACGGGGGGAGCAAGCGUUGUUCGAAUUUACUGGGCGUAAAGGGCGCGUAGGCGGCCAGCGCAAGUCGGUUGUGAAAUCUCCGGGCUUAACUCGGAAAGGUCAACCGAUACUGCGCGGCUAGAGUGCAGAAGGGGCAACUGGAAUUCUCGGUGUAGCGGUGAAAUGCGUAGAUAUCGAGAGGAACACCUGCGGCGAAGGCGGGUUGCUGGGCUGACACUGACGCUGAUGCGCGAAAGCCAGGGGAGCGAACGGGAUUAGAUACCCCGGUAGUCCUGGCCUUAAACGAUGGAUGCUUGGUGUCUGGGGUUUUAUAGUCCCCGGGUGCCGUAGCUAACGCGUUAAGCAUCCCGCCUGGGGAGUACGGUCGCAAGACUGAAACUCAAAGGAAUUGACGGGGACCCGCACAAGCGGUGGA